rnacentral:rRNA from 1 species
CCUACGGGAGGCAGCAGUGAGGAAUAUUGGUCAAUGGGCGGAAGCCUGAACCAGCCAAGCCGCGUGAAGGAAGAAGGCGCUAGGGGUCGUAAACUUCUUUUGUCGGGGAACAAAGGGCGCGACGUGUGGCGUUUUGAAUGUACCCGAAGAAAAAGCAUCGGCUAACUCCGUGCCAGCAGCCGCGGUAAUACGGAGGAUGCGAGCGUUAUCCGGAUUUAUUGGGUUAAAAGGGUGCGUAGGCGGACCGUAAAGGCAGCGGUAACAGCCCGGGGCCCACCCCAGGCGUGCCGUUGAAACUGUGGGACUGGAGACUGCGAGAGGUAGGCGGAAUGCGUGGUGUAGCGGUGAAAUGCCUAGAUAUCGCGCAGAACUCCGAUUGCGAAGGCAGCCUACCGGCGCCUGACUGACGCUGAGGCACGAAAGCGUGGGUAUCGAACAGGAUUAGAUACCCUUGUAGUC